GGCUGGCAGCCCGUCACUUGGCAAAGGAGAGAGAAACAAGCAACAAAGAAUACUAGAGUUGAACACAAACCCACAAACCACAGCACCCACAGGUCAACCACAGAGCACCGGAGGAGGGGGAGAAAUACAACUAUUAGCCUCAAGUAGAAGAUGCAGCUUUUCCCACAGUUAGAGUAUGAGCUGAGUAAUGGGCAGCAGAGCUGUGUUUCUGACUCUGCACCUGAUGUCAGGCAUAGCAUCUCAGCAGGCCUACAAACAUCUAUAAUCAUCUGCAGAGGAAAUCCUGUUAUGUGCCAGUUUAGUCACAAGAUCACUACGAAGAGAGCUGUUAUAUAUUUGCCACUGAUGUAGAGUGUAUUCAGCAAGUCACGUCAUUGAAUUGUUUGGACAUUCAAAUGAAACAGAUCCCAAGGGAGACUCCAUGGUCAACUUCUGACAGAAAUUGUCUACAGAGUCACCCUGGAGGGUGUUGCUCUAUGCCACUGGAG